GACGGAGGAUGCAAGCGUUAUCCGGAAUGAUUGGGCGUAAAGCGUCCGCAGGUGGCAGUUCAAGUCUGCUGUCAAAGACCGGGGCUUAACUUCGGAAAGGCAGUGGAAACUGAACAGCUAGAGUAUGGUAGGGGCAGAGGGAAUUCCUGGCGUAGCGGUGAAAUGCGUAGAUAUCGGGAGGAACACCAGUGGCGAAGGCGACUUCCUGGCCUGUUCUUGACGCUGAGGCGCGAAAGCUAGGGGAGCAAACGGG
rnacentral:rRNA from 1 species